GAGGGAAGUAGGAUGAAGGGAAAUAGAGAGGUUGAGAGAUGAGGCAGAGAGAGGUUGGAAGGAGGACAUAAGAGUUAGGAGAAUUAGGGAGAAAGAAAACUUGUAUUAAUUCUGUGAAUCCUGUUUACAUUACAUUCGGUAAUUAUACUACUUGCUAUCUUGAACUGAAAUGAAAAUUAUCUAGUCUAUGAGGGCUAAACAGCAAAAGUGAUGAAUCUCGGGAUGGUCUGGUGGGCUGCCAUUCGGUAGACGGGCCCCGUUGGCUUGACCGGUCCAGGAGUAUUGUAACCGGGAGCGGAUAUCAGUUCGUCCUCCGCCAAACGCGGCUGUGCGGUCCGCGUUUUACGUCCUAUCUGCGAAUCUGCCGCCCCGCUCCGCAAGAGCUUGAGUACUUCCGCCCUUCCCCAUCUCUAGAUUCGGACGGUCUCGUCCUCUGCUCAACCUUCCCUUCCCUUCCUUCCCUUUUUCCUAUCGAGGGAUGCCCUAGUCGCCUUCUCGGACCUUUCCUCCUCGAUGGCUAGCCGGAGUUCCUCGAACACCUCCCCGCCUGACCAACUCGCCGAAUCAUCCUCUCCACCCUGCUGGCUCGCGUGCUGCUACUUAUAUCUUCACUACCUAGUAAGUUUCUUCUUCUUCUCUUCUUACUUCUUCUGUUCUUCUUCUCUCUUUUUUUUUUUUUUUUUUUUUUUUUUUUUUUUUUUUUUUGAGAGAGAGAGAGAGAGAGAGAGAUAGAUAGAACUUUUUGCAUAAAAAAUCUACUUAUUUUGGGCUUUUUGCAAAAUCGGAUCACCUUUUUCGUUUUUGCAGAUUCGGUCAGCUUUUCAGCAAACUUACCAAAUAUCCUUAUACUUUUUCUCUUCCUCUUUUUCUCUCCUCUUCGUUCUCUCUUUUUUUUUUCCGCCGAAAAAAAAAGCGAAGGCCAGGCGAGUAAUAUUUUCUUCUCUUUAUUCUUUUUCUUCUUCUCCUGCUCUGAGCACCUUUUUUUUUCCUUCUUCAUCUUCUUCUUACUCUUUCUUCUCUUCUCCUGUAAAGAGCACGGGGCCCCACGCGACUUCCGGCGUCGCCAAGCGGUGUCCACCGGCGGCGUUUCGGCAGGGAGGGGUCGGCACCGGUGACGCGAGCGCGCGGUGAGGGUGGGGGCGCGCGGAGUGCGGCGGCGAGGUUGACGAGGUGGAGCGGGGUGUCGCAGCCGGGGACGUCGCACCGGUCGAGGGCGGCGGUCACGCGCGCGCUGUUGCGAUCUCCGACGGCUGCUUCUUCUUCUUCGUAAUGGUGUAAUGGUGACCGGUGCAUGUAGCGGCGGCGGGCGGGCACGCGGGAGCGCCGCGGCUGCUUCUUCUUCGUCGUAAUGGUGUAAUGGUGCACCAUUACACCAUUAAUGGUGAAAUUACACCAUUAACGGUGCACGCGGCCCGCGGAGCGGAGCCGCUUGUGGAGCUCCGCCGGGCACAACCGGCCGAGGGCCUCCUCGAAGCGCGCCAGCAGCGUGGCGUGUCACCGGCGCUGCCGCGCGGAGCGGGCAGCAAAGUCGUGGCCGAGCCCCCCGACCGACUCAUGGGCCAGCACCUCUCUCUGCGGGGCCCAUGACUGCACCACUAUGCCCCUCUCCCUGGUCCGGUAUGGAAACCCCUCCGGUAGCAGCUUCUCCAGGUCUGGCUCGGGCGGCGGCAAGAAGCGCUUCUCCGGGUCGUCGUUGUCGUCGCUCGGUGGGCUUCUGACCACCUACAAGAACCUGUGCCCGCUCUUCUCGAUCCCCUUCGCGAGCUCUUUUAGCUGCGCCGCGGAGAAGCGCCCGACGCUCCCGAAGCAGAGGAACACGACGCUCGCCUUGGGCUGGGAGUCGAGCCACGCGAGGCACUCCUCGCCGCGCCCGCGGGCGUCGUCGCUGGAUUUGACGAGCGGGCCGACGCAGUAGACGGGCGGGGUGGGCCGGGGCCGCUCGUGGUCGGGGACGCAAAGCCUCGCGGCGAUCAGGGCGUCCACGGCGCGGGGCUCGAGGGAGCGGGAGGUGUUGACGAUGAUGCUCGCGCAGCGGGCCAGGCGCCGGGAGUGGCCGAGGAAGCCCUCGUAGGCCUCGCCGGCGCGGUCGAGAAUCGGGAGGGGCAUGUGGUCGGCGGGGAGCGGGGGCAUGCCCGGGUCGCGCAGCGGCUCCGCGCCGAGCUCUCUGAAGCAUUUCGCCGAGCGGGCAUGAAGCAUGGGGAGGUGGAGGAACACGGCGAGGGCGGAGGCGCCGGAGGUGAAGAGGAAGUAGGCGGGGAGCGCGAGCUCGGCGGCGACGUCGAGGGCGUCCGUGCAGAAGAAGUCGAGGACGAGGGCGCGGGGCGAGGGGGAGAGGGAGCGAAGUCCUGCGUGAGCGGCGCGUGCUGGGGAGGGCUCUCGCUGCCGCCGGCCACAACCUCGGCCACUGGUUCGAGCGGCUGCCUCGGCCACGACUUCGCUGCCCGCUCCGCGCGGUAGCGCCAGCGCCACGCCGCGCUGCUGGCGCGCUUCGAGGAUGCCCUCGACCGGCUGCGCCCAGCGGAGCUCCACCCGCGGCUCCGCUCCGCGGGCCGCGUGCACCGUUAAUGGUGUAAUUACACCAUUACACCAUUAAUGGUGUAAUGGUGUAAUUUCACCAUUAAUGGUGUAAUGGUGCACCAUUACACCAUUACGACGAAGAAGAAGCAGCCGCAGCGCGCCCGUGUGCCCGCCCACCGCCGCUGCGUGCACCGGCCCGCGUGCACCAUUGCACCAUUACAAAGAAGAAGAAGCAGCCAUCGGAGNUAAAUUUUAAUUUAAAUUCAAAUUUUGAAUUAUUUUAAAAUAAAAUUUAGUAAAAAAAUUAUUAUUUGCAAACGGUAAAAUUUUUGUCGAACAACUCUGCAAAAUUACUUCAGAAAAAUCACUUUUCACGUAAAUUCAGCCAAAAGCUUUACAAUUUUUUAUCAAAAUUAAUCUUGAAACAAAAAUUAUGUAAGGGCCCGGACGAUCCGCAACCCGCUCAGGUAAGAGAUCUGAGGGAAGUAGGAUGAAGGGAAAUAGAGAGGUUGAGAGAUGAGGCAGAGAGGAGGUUGGAAGGAGGAAUAAGAGGUUAGGAGAAUUAGGGAGAAAGAAAACUUGUAUUAAUUCUGUGAAUCCUGUUUACAUUACAUUCUGGUAAUUAUACUACUUGCUAUCUUGAACUGAAAUGAAAAUUAUCUAGUCUAUGAGGGCUAAACAGCAAAAGUGAUGAAUCUCGGGAUGGUCUGGUGGGCUGCCAUUCGGUGGUAGACGGGCCCCGUUGGGCUUGACCGGUCCAGGAGUAUUUGUAACCGGGUGAGCGGAUAUCAGGUCGUCCUCCCCGCCAAACCCGCGGCUGUGCGGUCCGCGUUUUACGUCCUAUCUGCGAAUCUGGCCGCCCGCUCCGCAAGAGCUUGAGUACUUCCGCCCUUUCCCCAUCUCUAGAUUCGGACGGUUCUCGUCCUCUGCUCAACCUUCCCUUCCCUUCCCUUCCCUUUCUUCUCUGAUCGGAGGGAUGCCCUAGUCGCCUUCUCGGACCUUUCCUCCUCGAUGGCUAGCCGGAGUUCCUCGAACACCUCCCCGCCUGACCAACUCGCCGAGAUCACUCCUCUCCACCCUGCUGCUGCUGCUGCUGCUACUUAUAUCUUCACUACCUAGUAAAGUUUCUUCUUCUUCUUCUUCU
rnacentral:lncRNA from 1 species